UACGUAGGUGGCAAGCGUUAUCCGGAUUUACUGGGCGUAAAGAGCGCGCAGGCGGUCGUACAAGUCGCGUGUGAAAGCCCCCGGCUCAACUGGGGAGGGUCACGCGAUACUGUUCGACUCGAAGGCAGGAGAGGGAAGCAGAAUUCCCGGUGUAGUGGUGAAAUGCGUAGAUAUCGGGAGGAAUACCAGUGGCGAAGGCGGCUUCCUGGCCUGUUCUUGACGCUGAGGCGCGAAAGCUAGGGUAGCAAACGGG
rnacentral:rRNA from 1 species